rnacentral:rRNA from 1 species
AGUGAACGCUGGCGGUAGGCCUAACACAUGCAAGUCGAACGGCAGCACAGUAAGAGCUUGCUCUUACGGGUGGCGAGUGGCGGACGGGUGAGGAAUACAUCGGAAUCUACUUUUUCGUGGGGGAUAACGUAGGGAAACUUACGCUAAUACCGCAUACGACCUACGGGUGAAAGCAGGGGAUCUUCGGACCUUGCGCGAUUGAAUGAGCCGAUGUCGGAUUAGCUAGUUGGCGGGGUAAAGGCCCACCAAGGCGACGAUCCGUAGCUGGUCUGAGAGGAUGAUCAGCCACACUGGAACUGAGACACGGUCCAGACUCCUACGGGAGGCAGCAGUGGGGAAUAGUGGACAAUGGGCGCAAGCCUGAUCCAGCCAUACCGCGUGGGUGAAGAAGGCCUUCGGGUUGUAAAGACCUUUUGUUGGGAAAGAAAAGCAGCAGGUUAAUACCCCGCUGUUCCGACGGUACCCAAAGAAUAAGCACCGGCUAACUUCGUG